CCUACGGGAGGCAGCAGUGAGGAAUAUUGGUCAAUGGUCGGGAGACGGAACCAGCCAAGCCGCGUGAGGGAUGAAGGUACAGAGGAUCGUAAACCUCUUUUGUCAGGGAACAAAGGCGGGGACGUGUCCCCGGAUGAGUGUACCUGAAGAAAAAGCAUCGGCUAACUCCGUGCCAGCAGCCGCGGUAAUACGGAGGAUGCGAGCGUUAUCCGGAUUUAUUGGGGUUAAAGGGGGCGAAGGCGGCCUGUUAAGUCAGCGGUCAAAGCCCGGGGCUCAACCCCGGCCCGCCGUUGAAACUGGCAGGCUCGAGUUGGGGAGAGGUAUGCGGAAUGCGCGGUGUAGCGGUGAAAUGCAUAGAUAUCGCGCAGAACUCCGAUUGCGAAGGCAGCAUGCCGGCUCCACACUGACGCUGAGGCACGAAAGCGUGGGUAUCGAACAGGAUUAGAUACCCUAGUAGUC
rnacentral:rRNA from 1 species